rnacentral:rRNA from 1 species
GAUGAACGCUAGCGGCAGGCUUAAUACAUGCAAGUCGUGGGGCAGCAGGACUGUAGCAAUACAGUUGCUGGCGACCGGCAAACGGGUGCGGAACACGUACGCAACUUACCCUGAACUGGGGGAUAGCCCGGGGAAACCCGGAUUAAUACCCCGUAAUAUAAUGGAGUGGCAUCACUUUAUUAUUAAAGCUCCGGCGGUUCGGGAUGGGCGUGCGGCUGAUUAGGUAGUUGGUUGAGGUAACGGCUCACCAAGCCUACGAUCAGUAACUGGUGUGAGAGCACGACCAGUCACACGGGCACUGCGACACGGGCCCGACUCCUACGGGGGGCAGCAGUAAGGAAGAUUGGGCAGUGGAGGCUACUCUGACCCAGCCAUGCCGCGUGGAGGAUGAAGGCCCUCUGGGUUGUAAACUUCUUUUAUAGGAGACGAAACCGGUGUAUUCUUACGCAGUUGACGGUACCCUAGGAAUAAGCACCGGCUAACUCCGUG